rnacentral:tRNA from 1 species
GGCUCCGUGGCCUAAUGGUAAGGCGUUGCUUUCCGGCGGUCGGAUAAUGAUCCUACUCGUAGAUUGGCAAAGAUUGUGGGUUCGAGUCCCAUCGGGGUCG